rnacentral:rRNA from 1 species
GAUACCGCCCUAGUUCUAACCAUAAACGAUGCCAACCAGCGAUCCGCCUGGGUUCCUCAAAUGACUCGGCGGGCAGCUUCCGGGAAACCAAAGUGUUUGGGUUCCGGGGGAAGUAUGGUUGCAAAGCUGAAACUUAAAGGAAUUGACGGAAGGGCACCACCAGGAGUGGAGCCUGCGGCUUAAUUUGACUCAACACGGGAAAACUUACCCGGCCCGGACACUGGAAGGAUUGACAGAUUAAGAGCUCUUUCUUGAUUCAGUGGGUGGUGGUGCAUGGCCGUUCUUAGUUGGUGGAGCGAUUUGUCUGGUUAAUUCCGAUAACGAACGAGACUCUAGCCUACUAAAUAGGCGUUCCGAUCCAUUGAGUCGGACGUUCUUCUUAGAGGGACAAGCGGCGUUUAGCCGCACGAGACAGAGCAAUAACAGGUCUGUGAUGCCCUUAGAUGUCCGGGGCCGCACGCGCGCUACACUGAAGGAAUCAGCGUGUGCUUUCCCUGUCCGGUAGGACUGGGUAACCCGAUGAACCUCCUUCGUGAUAGGGAUAGGGGCUUGUAAUUGUUCCCCUUGAACGAGGAAUUCCCAGUAAGCACGAGUCAUAAGCUCGUGUUGAUUACGUCCCUGCCCUUUGUACACACCGCCCGUCGCUACUACCGAU